UUAGGUUUAUAAACUGAUGAUUACAGAGCUCAGCUGUUUGUAACAUCUACUACUAUGUUUAUUUAUGUAUCCGGAACUAGAAAUAUAUUGAUGGUAAGUGAAAAAAAAAACAUGAUAUAAGUUACAAAGUUGACAAUUUAUAAAAGAAACAAAAAUAAAAAUUGAAUGAGCUGUGGUGGGAUUAUGGAAGACAUGUGGUUGGGCAGAGAGGUCAUGUCGUCUUCUUUGCUCUCUCUUUCACACCGUUCUACGGAUUGCGAUGUAUAUUUGUAUAUUUUUACGCUUAAACCAAAAC
rnacentral:lncRNA from 1 species